rnacentral:rRNA from 1 species
CUAGCUACAGGCUUAACACAUGCAAGUCGAGGGGCAGCAUGGUCUUAGCUUGCUAAGGCCGAUGGCGACCGGCGCACGGGUGAGUAACACGUAUCCAACCUGCCGUCUACUCUUGGACAGCCUUCUGAAAGGAAGAUUAAUACAAGAUGGCAUCAUGAGUCCACAUGUUCACAUGAUUAAAGGUAUUCCGGUAGACGAUGGGGAUGCGUUCCAUUAGAUAGUAGGCGGGGUAACGGCCCACCUAGUCUUCGAUGGAUAGGGGUUCUGAGAGGAAGGUCCCCCACAUUGGAACUGAGACACGGUCCAAACUCCUACGGGAGGCAGCAGUGAGGAAUAUUGGUCAAUGGGCGAGAGCCUGAACCAGCCAAGUAGCGUGAAGGAUGACUGCCCUAUGGGUUGUAAACUUCUUUUAUAAAGGAAUAAAGUCGGGUAUGUAUACCCGUUUGCAUGUACUUUAUGAAUAAGGAUCGGCUAACUCCGUGCCAGCAGCCGCGGUAAUACGGAGGAUCCGAGCGUUAUCCGGAUUUAUUGGGUUUAAAGGGAGCGUAGAUGGAUAUUUAAGUCAGUUGUGAAAGUUUGCGGCUCAACCGUAAAAUUGCAGUUGAUACUGGAUAUCUUGAGUGCAGUUGAGGCAGGCGGAAUUCGUGGUGUAGCGGUGAAAUGCUUAGAUAUCACGAAGAACUCCGAUUGCGAAGGCAGCCUGCUAAGCUGCAACUGAC